rnacentral:rRNA from 1 species
GGAUGAACGCUAGCGGCAGGCUUAAUACAUGCAAGUCGAACGGCAGCACGGGUAGCAAUAUCUGGUGGCGAGUGGCGCACGGGUGCGUAACACGUAUGCAACCUUCCUUCAACUGGAGAAUAGCUCACCGAAAGGUGAAUUAAUACUCCAUAAUAUUCGAGAGUGGCAUCACUUUCCAAUUAAAGUUCAGACGGUUGAAGAUGGGCAUGCGGAACAUUAGCUUGUUGGCGGGGUAACGGCCCACCAAGGCUACGAUGUUUAGGGGAUCUGAGAGGAUCAACCCCCACACUGGUACUGAGACACGGACCAGACUCCUACGGGAGGCAGCAGUAAGGAAUAUUGGACAAUGGGCGCAAGCCUGAUCCAGCCAUGCCGCGUGCAGGAUGACGGCCCUAUGGGUUGUAAACUGCUUUUAUACGGGAAAAAACCCCUCUACGUGUAGAGGGCUGAUGGUACCGUAAGAAUAAGGAUCGGCUAACUCCGUGCCAGCAGCCGCGGUAAUACGGAGGAUCCGAGCGUUAUCCGGAUUUAUUGGGUUUAAAGGGUGCGUAGGCGGAUUUGUAAGUCAGUGGUGAAAUCCUGCAGCUUAACUGUAGAACUGCCAUUGAUACUGCAAGUCUUGAGUACAUAUGAUGUGGGCGGAAUGUGUAGUGUAGCGGUGAAAUGCUUAGAUAUUACACAGAACACCAAUUGCGAAGGCAGCUCACAAAACUGUAACUGACGCUGAGGCACGAAAGCGUGGGGAGUGAACAGGAUCAGAUACCCUGGUAAUCCACGCCUUAAACGAUGAUUACUCGAUGUGUGCGAUACACAGCACGCGUCCUAGCGAAAGCGUUAAGUAAUCCACCUGGGGAGUACGAUCGCAAGGUUGAAACUCAAAGGAAUUGACGGGGGCCCGCACAAGCGGAGGAGCAUGUGGUUUAAUUCGAUAUACGCGAGGAACCUUACCUGGGCUUGAAAGUUAGUGACCGUCUGUGAAAGCAGACUUUCCGCAAGGACACGAAACUAGGUGCUGCAUGGCUGUCGUCAGCUCGUGCCGUGAGGUGUUGGGUUAAGUCCCGCAACGAGCGCAACCCCUAUCUUUAGUUGCCAGCGAGUAAUGUCGGGGACUCUAGAGAAACUGCCCGUGUAAACGGUGAGGAAGGUGGGGAUGACGUCAAGUCAGCACGGCCCUUACGUCCAGGGCUACACACGUGCUACAAUGGCGAAGACAAUGGGCAGCUACAUAGUGAUAUGAUGCUAAUCUCUAAACUUCGUCUCAGUUCGGAUUGAAGU